GAUGAACGCUGGCGGCGUGCCUAAUACAUGCAAGUCGAGCGAACAGACGAGGAGCUUGCCCCUUCGACGUUAGCGGCGGACGGGUGAGUAACACGUAGGUAACCUACCUAUAAGACUGGGAUAACUUCGGGAAACCGGAGCUAAUACCGGAUAAUAUUUCGAACCGCAUGGUUCGAUAGUGAAAGAUGGCUUUGCUAUCACUUAUAGAUGGACCUGCGCCGUAUUAGCUAGUUGGUAAGGUAACGGCUUACCAAGGCAACGAUACGUAGCCGACCUGAGAGGGUGAUCGGCCACACUGGAACUGAGACACGGUCCAGACUCCUACGGGAGGCAGCAGUAGGGAAUCUUCCGCAAUGGGCGAAAGCCUGACGGAGCAACGCCGCGUGAGUGAUGAAGGUCUUCGGAUCGUAAAACUCUGUUAUUAGGGAAGAACAAACGUGUAAGUAACUGUGCACGUCUUGACGGUACCUAAUCAGAAAGCCACGGCUAACUACGUG
rnacentral:rRNA from 1 species